UACGAAGGGGGGCUAGCGUUGCUCGGAAUCACUGGGCGUAAAGCGCACGUAGGCGGCUUUUUUAAGUCAGGGGUGAAAUCCUGGAGCUCAACUCCAGAACUGCCUUUGAUACUGGCGAUCUCGAGUCCGGGAGAGGUGAGUGGAACUGCGAGUGUAGAGGUGAAAUUCGUAGAUAUUCGCAAGAACACCAGUGGCGAAGGCGGCUCACUGGCCCGAUACUGACGCUGAGGUGCGAAAGCGUGGGGAGCAAACAGGG
rnacentral:rRNA from 1 species